GCCCGAUUUUUUCUUUCUUUCAAAUAUUGAACAUAUUAGUGAUUAUUGGUAUUCACUAUAUCUGUCAGCUGCUUCUGACACUAAUUCUUAUCAUGUCCAACCAUUGUGUGUUUAAUAUUUUGCUCCUUUUGUCGAAGUAUUUUUCACGAACCUAAAAACAGUUUUCGAUACUUCAACAGGGAAAAGUACUAAAAUAUAAGCUUUCCUUGAUUUAUUUUGGCCGAUUAGGUUCUGAACGAUAGAAAAUAAAUUAGUUUAACAGGAUACGUUCCAAGCUAGGCAUCUUAAACAGGCA